CACCAGCGCCGCAAGUGGGGACCUCUUUUAUUGGGCCUAAAGCGUCCGUAGCUGGUUUGGUAAAUCUCUUGUGAAAUCGUUAAGCUUAACUUAACGGCAUGCGGGAGACACUGCCUUACUUGAGACCGGGAGAAGUGAAGAGUAUUUCGGGGGAACCGGUAAAAUGGGAUAAUCCUCGAAAGACUACCUGUGGCGAAGGCGCUUCACUAGAACGGAUCUGACAGUGAGGGACGAAGGCUAGGGGAGCAAACCGGAUUAGAUACCCGAGUAGUCCUAGCAGUAAACGCUGCGAGCAAGGCGUUGCGCAUUCUUUAGGAAUGUGCAGUGUCGUAACGAAGGUGUUAAGCUCGCCGCCUGGGAAGUAUGGUCGCAAGACUGAAACUUAAAGGAAUUGGCGGGGGAGCACCACAAGGGGUGCGGCGUGCGGUUUAAUCUAACUCAACGCAGAGAAUCUCACCAGAGGCGACGGCAGGAUGAAGGUCAGUCUGAAGGGCUUACCUGACGAGCCGAGAGGUGGUGCAUGGCCGCCGUCAGCUCGUGCUGUGAGGUGUCCUGUUAAGUCAGGUAACGAGCGGGACCUGUACCUACAAUUGCCAGCGACUAAUUUAUUAGGAUCGGGCACAAUGUAGGGACUGCCUUGGAAACAAGGAGGAAGGUGCAGGCUACGGUAGGUCUGUAUGCCCCGAAUCUUCUGGGCUACACGCGCGCAACAAUGGUUGGGACAAUGGGACGCGACUCCGAAAGGAGAAGCCAAACCUCAAAACCCAAUCUUAGUCCAGAUUGAGGGCUGUAACUCGCCCUCAUGACGUCGGAAUCCCUAGUAAUCCCAUGUCAUCAUCGUGGGGUGAAUAUGUCCCUGCUCCU
rnacentral:rRNA from 1 species